rnacentral:rRNA from 1 species
UACGUAGGUGGCAAGCGUUGUCCGGAGUUAUUGGGCGUAAAGCGCGCGCAGGCGGUGCGGUAAGUCUCUGGUGAAAGCGCUCGGCUUAACUGGGCGAGGGCCGGGGAGACUGCCACGCUGGAGGGGAGCAGAGGCGAGUGGAAUUCCGGGUGUAGUGGUGAAAUGCGUAGAGAUCCGGAGGAACACCAGUGGCGAAGGCGGCUCGCUGGGCUCUACCUGACGCUGAGGCGCGAAAGCGUGGGGGAGCGAACCGG